rnacentral:rRNA from 1 species
GGUUAGCUUUUCCUUAGUGUAGUAAGCUAAGGGAAUAAGCGGGGGGCAAGCCUGGUGUCAGCCGCCGCGGUAAUACCAGCUCCGCGAGUGGUCGGGACGAUUAUUGGGCCUAAAGCGUCCGUAGCCGGCCUAUCAAGUCUCUGGUUAAACCUCAAGGCUCAACCUUGAGAUCGCUGGAGAUACUGUUAGGCUAGGGGGCGGGAGAGGUUGAGGGUACUUCGCGGGUAGGGGCGAAAUCCUAUAAUCCGCGAAGGACCACCAGUGGCGAAGGCGCUCAACUGGAACGCGCCCGACGGUGAGGGACGAAAGCCAGGGGAGCAAAGGGGAUUAGAUACCCCCGUAGUCCUGGCUGUAAACGAUGCGGGCUAGGUGUUGGGUUGGCUUCGUGCCAACCCGGUGCCGCAGUGAAGACGAUAAGCCCGCCGCCUGGGAAGUACGGCUGCAAGGCUGAAACUUAAAGGAAUUGGCGGGGGAGCACCACAAGGGGUGAAGCCUGCGGUUUAAUUGGAGUCAACGCCGGGAAUCUUAC